rnacentral:tRNA from 1 species
AGAUAGUUAGUAUUAACAAAAACAUUUGAUUUCGGCUCAAAAAAUUAUGGUUUAAGUCCAUAACUACCUA